GGAUGGGUGGCCGAGUGGUUGAAGGCAACGGUCUUGAAAACCGUCGAACCGCGAGGUUCCGUGGGUUCGAAUCCCACCCCAUCCGCCA
rnacentral:tRNA from 1 species